rnacentral:rRNA from 1 species
UACGUAGGGUGCAAGCGUUAAUCGGAAUUACUGGGCGUAAAGCGUGCGCAGGCGGUUUGGUAAGACAGAUGUGAAAUCCCCGGGCUCAACCUGGGAAUUGCAUUUGUGACUGCCCGACUAGAGUGUGUCAGAGGGGGGUAGAAUUCCACGUGUAGCAGUGAAAUGCGUAGAGAUGUGGAGGAAUACCGAUGGCGAAGGCAGCCCCCUGGGAUAACACUGACGCUCAUGCACGAAAGCGUGGGGAGCAAACAGG